rfam:Schistosoma haematobium scaffold521_4, whole genome shotgun sequence.
AUUCAACUGACGAGUCCUAAAUAAGACAAAACGCGCUUCCUAGAU